CCCGCUGCGACCGAGGAGGGAGCUUGCAGGGGUCUCCCCGCGCGCCCAAGAGAACGCCCUAGUGGGGCCCCUUUUCCACCCUGGCAGCCUAGCCUGGGUGGGCGCAGACCGGGGUAGGAGACCGCGGGAAUUCGUCCCUCCUGUCGGAGCUCACUGUCAGCUGCCUGCCCCUUCCCCCGCGACCCCCCCGCCCUCCUAGGAUCCUCAAGGUCCACUCCCACGGAUAGCCCUAACUCUGGCGAGCCCACCCCACGGAGGCAGAGGGACGGGAUUCCUUGGCGCUCUCCCUCUGGGUAAAGGAGAGCCUUGUCAAACCUGCGUCCAGAGGUAGCUCCCCUCUGGGAAUGGACAGCAUACCCCCCCCCCCCCCAGUUCUGUGAGAACCUCCUCGGGUACUCCAGGUGACCUCAGACUGGGCUGUGACUCUGCUGAGCCUCAGUUUUCCCAGCUGUAAAGUGGUACCUCCACAGUAGCAUGAGGGUGGAUGGGGACCGUGGUUGAGGGUUACCCCUCACCUGGCCUUGACUCUCCACUGUGAACCGACUGCGAAGCCCAGGGGCAGAGAAGGCUCUUCAGACUUGGGUCCAGCUGGCUUCCCAACCUUGCAGCCAAUGGCAUGCCCUCUGGGUGCUCCCCAUACUCCCCCAUCCUUCCUGGUCUCUGAAUGUCUACUCCUGGAGCAGAUUCACUCCCUGUCCCAGCAGCCUCAGCCCUGAAAAUCUCCCUGGCUCAGCCCCAGUACAGAAGCAGCCUGUCUGCCGGCCACUGCCCAAGGAGAGCCCUGAGUGCCCCGUGAGCCCAGGGGAGCCACCAGGGCCAGCACUGACUGGCUCAUCUCUGUGCAGGGACUCAGCCAUUCUUGGAAUGCAUGAGUCCUUGCGGAGGCCUUAGCUUCUGCCCACCAACCCCCAGCUAGGGUUCUGGCCUCCAUGUCUCCUGGGCCCCAGCAGUGUCCCGGUGUGGUCCCACCUGGGGGCAGGGAGGCUAGGACCUGGGCGGUGGCCUGGCCUUGGACCAGCGGGGGGAGGGGCAGGCUAGUUGACUCAUGUCCAGUGCUGGCGCCAGGCUGCAGUGCUCUGUCAGUGGGUGUGUUUGUUGACCCGGAGGAGGAAUGUGGCCUUUAGCCACAGUCCAGGCGCAGGAGAGAAACUGGCCACCUUUCCAGGAUCUUCUGUAGCGCGCUCAAUGGGCUCAACUGUAACCUCUGCACCUUGGGUACCUCCCAGCCCCAUCCUGAGCUGCUCCCUAUCCCUGAGGUUGACACGAGGACCAGUAUGGACUCAGAAGUUUUACCCGGGUGAGGUAGUGCACGCCUAUAAUCCCAGCUACUUGGGAGGCUGAGGCAGGAGGAUUCCAAGUUUGAGGCCUGUGUACCCUAACAAGACCCUGUAUGGAAAUAAAAACAAUUCAAAAAAGG